AUAUCGGUUUAUUCCUGAAACCAGAAGCCCUAAACAUAUCUUUGUUUAUAAGAGCUUCUAAUGCCAUCUACUAAUACCAUUCUAAGACCUCUUCACAUAUUUGCAAAUUCAGCUUCCCUUUUGUGGUUCUGAUUGUUGCGCAGUAUAGCUGUCAACCACUUUAAUCUGAGCAGUUGACAUUGGUGCUUCUUCGAAAUCUUCAGAAACCUUGAAGAGAGCUCCUGUUGCCACCUGGAACACAAAUGUGCCCACACCAUGAGAAGUCCACUUAUUUUAAACGUCAAAGAUGUAAAUUAUCUUCAGCAUUGAUCAAUUACAAUGCA